rnacentral:rRNA from 1 species
UACAGAGGGUGCGAGCGUUAAUCGGAAUUACUGGGCGUAAAGCGCGCGUAGGCGGCUUCUCAAGUCGAUUGUGAAAUCCCCGGGCUUAACCUGGGAACUGCAGUCGAGACUGUCUAGCUAGAGUAUGGGAGAGGGAAGUGGAAUUUCAGGUGUAGCGGUGAAAUGCGUAGAUAUCUGGAGGAACACCGGUGGCGAAGGCGACAUCCUGGACCGGUAUUGACGCUGAGGCGCGAAAGCCAGGGGAGCAAACGGG